rnacentral:rRNA from 1 species
GACGAACGCUGGCGGCGUGCUUAACACAUGCAAGUCGUACGGUAAGGCCCUUUAGGGGGUACACGAGUGGCGAACGGGUGAGUAACACGUGAGUAACCGGCCCACAACUUUGGGAUAACGCUAGGAAACUGGUGCUAAUACUGGAUAUGUGCUCAUGCUGCAUGGUGGGGGUUGGAAAGUUCCGGCGGUUGUGGAUGGACUCGCGGCCUAUCAGCCUGUUGGUGGGGUAGUGGCCUACCAAGGCGGCGACGGGUAGCCGGCCUGAGAGGGGGACCGGCCACAUUGGGACUGAGAUACGGCCCAGACUCCUACGGGAGGCAGCAGUGGGGAAUAUUGCACAAUGGGCGCAAGCCAGAUGCAGCAACGCCGCGUGCGUGAUGACGGCCUUCGGGUUGUAAACCGCUUUCAGCAGGGACGAAGCUUUUUGUGACGGUACCUGCAGAAGAAGCACCGGCUAACUACGUG